AGAUUGAACGCUGGCGGCAGGCCUAACACAUGCAAGUCGAGCGGCAGCACAAGGGAGUUUACUUCUGAGGUGGCGAGCGGCGGACGGGUGAGUAAUGCCUAGGGAUCUGCCCAGUCGAGGGGGAUAACAGUUGGAAACGACUGCUAAUACCGCAUACGCCCUACGGGGGAAAGGAGGGGACCUUCGGGCCUUCCGCGAUUGGAUGAACCUAGGUGGGAUUAGCUAGUUGGUGAGGUAAUGGCUCACCAAGGCGACGAUCCCUAGCUGUUCUGAGAGGAUGAUCAGCCACACUGGGACUGAGACACGGCCCAGACUCCUACGGGAGGCAGCAGUGGGGAAUAUUGCACAAUGGGGGAAACCCUGAUGCAGCCAUGCCGCGUGUGUGAAGAAGGCCUUCGGGUUGUAAAGCACUUUCAGUAGGGAGGAAAGGGUGUAGUUUAAUACGCUAUAUCUGUGACGUUACCUACAGAAGAAGGACCGGCUAACUCCGUGCCAGCAGCCGCGGUAAU
rnacentral:rRNA from 1 species